rnacentral:rRNA from 1 species
UACGAAGGGUGCAAGCGUUACUCGGAAUUACUGGGCGUAAAGAGCGCGCAGGCGGUCGGAUAAGUCGAAUGUGAAAGCCCCCGGCUCAACUGGGGAGGGUCAUUCGAUACUGUUCGACUCGAAGGCAGGAGUGGGAAGUGGAAUUCCCGGUGUAGUGGUGAAAUGCGUAGAUAUCGGGAGGAACACCAGUGGCGAAGGCGACUUCCUGGCCUGUUCUUGACGCUGAGGCGCGAAAGCUAGGGGAGCAAACGGG